GGCGGGGUGGUUAAGACAUGCAAGUCGAACGAGAGAAUUGCUAGCUUGCUAAUAAUUCUCUAGUGGCGCACGGGUGAGUAACACGUGAGUAACCUGCCCCCGAGAGCGGGAUAGCCCUGGGAAACUGGGAUUAAUACCGCAUAGUAUCGAAAGAUUAAAGCAGCAAUGCGCUUGGGGAUGGGCUCGCGGCCUAUUAGUUAGUUGGUGAGGUAACGGCUCACCAAGGCGAUGACGGGUAGCCGGUCUGAGAGGAUGUCCGGCCACACUGGAACUGAGACACGGUCCAGACACCUACGGGUGGCAGCAGUCGAGAAUCAUUCACAAUGGGGGAAACCCUGAUGGUGUGACGCCGCGUGGGGGAAUGAAGGUCUUCGGAUUGUAAACCCCUGUCAUGUGGGAGCAAAUUAAAAAGAUAGUACCACAAGAGGAAGAGACGGCUAACUCUGUGCCAGCAGCCGCGGUAAUACAGAGGUCUCAAGCGUUGUUCGGAAUCACUGGGCGUAAAGCGUGCGUAGGCUGUUUCGUAAGUCGUGUGUGAAAGGCGCGGGCUCAACCCGCGGACGGCACAUGAUACUGCGAGACUAGAGUAAUGGAGGGGGAACCGGAAUUCACGGUGUAGCA
rnacentral:rRNA from 1 species